rnacentral:snoRNA from 1 species
AUCUGGACUACAAUAUAGCUUGAAGUGCUGAAUUGUCAUUAACUAGAGCUGUCGGCUUGAUUUCUGUAGCAGCCAGGGUCGCUGAUCUCAUAUAU